rnacentral:rRNA from 1 species
GACGAACGCUGGCGGUGUGCUUAACACAUGCAAGUCGAACGGUAAGGCCCUUUCGGGGGUACACGAGUGGCGAACGGGUGAGUAACACGUGAGUAACCUGCCCUCAUCUCUGGGAUAACAGUCGGAAACGGUUGCUAAUACUGGAUAUGAGCUUGCAAGGCAUCUUGUGGGUUGGAAAGAUUUUUUUUGGUUGGGGAUGGACUCGCGGCCUAUCAGCUUGUUGGUGAGGUAGUGGCUCACCAAGGCUUCGACGGGUAGCCGGCCUGAGAGGGCGACCGGCCACAUUGGGACUGAGAUACGGCCCAAACUCCUACGGGAGGCAGCAGUGGGGAAUAUUGCACAAUGGACGGAAGUCUGAUGCAGCAACGCCGCGUGCGGGAUGACGGCCUUCGGGUUGUAAACCGCUUUCAAUUGUGACGAAGCUUUUUUGUGACGGUAGCAGCAGAAGAAGCACCGGCUAACUACGUG